rnacentral:rRNA from 1 species
GCUAAUACCGCAUACGUCCUACGGGAGAAAGCAGGGGAUCUUCGGACCUUGCGCUAAAUGAUGAGCCUAGUCGGAUUAGCUAGUUGGUGGGGUAAAGGCCUACCAAGGCGACGAUCUGUAGCGGGUCUGAGAGGAUGAUCCGCCACACUGGGACUGAGACACGGCCAGACUCCUACGGGAGGCAGCAGUGGGGAAUAUGGACAAUGGGCGGAAGCCUGAUCCAGCCAUGCCGCGUGUGUGAAGAAGGCCUUUUGGUUGUAAAGCACUUUAAGCGA